AACGAACGCUGGCGGCAGGCCUAACACAUGCAAGUCGAACGCCGUAGCAAUACGGAGUGGCAGACGGGUGAGUAACACGUGGGAACAUACCCUUCGGUUCGGAAUAACUCAGGGAAACUUGAGCUAAUACCGGAUACGUCCGCGAGGAGAAAGAUUCAUCGCCGGAGGAUUGGCCCGCGUCUGAUUAGCUUGUUGGUGAGGUAACGGCUCACCAAGGCGACGAUCAGUAGCNGGUCUGAGAGGAUGAUCAGCCACAUUGGGACUGAGACACGGCCCAAACUCCUACGGGAGGCAGCAGUGGGGAAUAUUGGACAAUGGGCGCAAGCCUGAUCCAGCCAUGCCGCGUGAGUGAUGAAGGCCCUAGGGUUGUAAAGCUCUUUUACCCGGGAAGAUAAUGACUGUACCGGGAGAAUAAGCCCCGGCUAACUUCGUGCCAGCAGCCGCCG
rnacentral:rRNA from 1 species